rnacentral:rRNA from 1 species
AGCGAACGCUGGCGGCAGGCUUAACACAUGCAAGUCGAGCGGACCUUUCGGGGUCAGCGGCGGACGGGUGCGUAACGCGUGGGAACGUGCCUUUCGGUUCGGAAUAACCCUGGGAAACUAGGGCUAAUACCGGAUACGCUCUUAUGGGGAAAGGUUUAUUGCCGGAAGAUCGGCCCGCGUCUGAUUAGCUAGUUGGUGGGGUAACGGCCUACCAAGGCGACGAUCAGUAGCUGGUCUGAGAGGAUGAUCAGCCACACUGGGACUGAGACACGGCCCAGACUCCUACGGGAGGCAGCAGUGGGGAAUAUUGGACAAUGGGCGCAAGCCUGAUCCAGCCAUGCCGCGUGAGUGAUGAAGGCCUUAGGGUUGUAAAGCUCUUUUAUCCGGGACGAUAAUGACGGUACCGGAGGAAUAAGCCCCGGCUAACUUCGUG